CCUACGGGGGGCAGCAGUGAGGAAUAUUGGUCAAUGGGCGAGAGCCUGAACCAGCCAAGUCGCGUGAAGGAUGAAGGAUCUAUGGUUUGUAAACUUCUUUUAUAUGGGAAUAAAGUGAGGAACGUGUUCCUUUUUGUAUGUACCAUAUGAAUAAGCAUCGGCUAACUCCGUGCCAGCAGCCGCGGUAAUACGGAGGAUGCGAGCGUUAUCCGGAUUUAUUGGGUUUAAAGGGUGCGUAGGUGGUUAAUUAAGUCAGCGGUGAAAGUUUGUGGCUCAACCAUAAAAUUGCCGUUGAAACUGGUUGACUUGAGUAUAUUUGAGGUAGGCGGAAUGCGUGGUGUAGCGGUGAAAUGCAUAGAUAUCACGCAGAACUCCGAUUGCGAAGGCAGCUUACUAAACUAUAACUGACGUUGAGGCACGAAAGCGUGGGGAGCAAACAGGAUUAGAUACCCUAGUAGUC
rnacentral:rRNA from 1 species